rnacentral:rRNA from 1 species
AAAUAAGUACAAUAAAGAAUAUUAGAGUAUUAAUAGUUAUGUUCUUAAAAUUUAAAAAAUUUGGCGGUAUUUUUUCUUAUCAGAGGAACCUGUUUUAUAAUUGAUAAUCCACAUUAAAUCUUACUUAAUUUUUUAAAAUAUGUAUAUCGUCGUCAUAAGAAUAUCUUAAAAAAGAAAAAAUUUUCUAAAAUUUUAAAUAAAAAUUAUGUCAGAUCAAGGUGCAGUUUAUAAUUAAGAAAAAAUUGGUUACAAUAAAUUUAUUUAAAAAUGAAUAUAUAAUUGAAAUAUUAUAUUGAAAUUGGAUUUGAAAGUAAAUUAAUCAAUUUAAAUUAAUUGAUUAAGUUCAMAAAUAUGC